UCAUUAAAUGGCCGCGGUAUUUUGACCGUGCAAAGGUAGCAUAAUCAUUAGUUUAUUAAUUGUAAACUUGUAUGAAUGGUUUGACGAGACAAUUACUGUCUCAUAUUUAUAUUUAUAACUUAAAUUUUGAGUUAAAAUGCUUAAAUUUUUUUGGAGGACGAGAAGACCCUAUAGAUCUUUAUUUCUAUUAUUUAAUUUUUAUUUGGAUUAUUUAUUAUUUUUAUUUAAUAUUAGUUUUGUUGGGGUGACAUAAGGAUAUAUUUAACUCUUAUUUUUAUUAUUCAUUUAUUUAUGAUUAUUUGACCUUUUAUUAUUGUUUAUAAGAUAUAGAUACCUUAGGGAUAACAGCGUAAUCUUCUUUGAGAGUUCAUAUCGACAGGAAGGAUUGCGACCUCGAUGUUGGAUUAAGAUUAUAUUUGGGUGUAGGUGUUCAAAAGUUAGGUCUGUUCGACCUUUAAAAUCUUACAUGAUCUGAGUCA
rnacentral:rRNA from 1 species